rnacentral:lncRNA from 1 species
GUCUCAAAACUCCCGACCUCAGGCGAUCUACCCGCCUUGGCCUCUGAAAGUACUGGGAUUACAGCAACUCCCAAAACACACAUGGCCCCAGAGAAUAAGAGGACCACAGCUGAGUUGCUUUUCAGACAUCAGACAGCUGUCCUUGUGGAUGAAAGAAACUCCUUUCCAACUUUGAAGAAAAUGUCCAGGGAUCGGGGAGCAGGCAUGUGAUAUUCUUCAAGGUGCCACCAGCCUUUCUCAAUAAAACAUCUCCAGUGGGAAAACAUGGAACCCAGAAAGGGCUGGUGUGGGAAAAAUAUGACAAGGAUGGCCGGCAAAGUAAACCCAUGGUGAAUUCAACCCUGAGAAAGCAGAUUUCCUGGAGUGUGCAAGCUUUGCUUAGGCUUAGUUUUAAUAAAUAAUAAAGAGACACAAUUAAACAAACUAAAGGUGAUCUUGCCCCGGAUGGCUCCUUAGGAUCUUUAGAACAUGGCAAUUCAAUUUAAACGCGGAGCCCCUACUCUGCUGGACUGACAGGAAAUUGAACUGUCCAGGUCAUGACUCCCGUGUAUGAAGUGCAGCUGUCCAGGUCACCCCUGGAACAUCUUUCACAACCUUGCUGAGGGCCCUGCUAGGAACCAGGCAUCUUAAGAAGCACUAGGUCAUCUGGAGGCCCUUCCCAUCAUUAGUUCACAUGAGCACGUCCCAGUCUGCAUGGUCUCCUUGGGGUUACCCCUCUGCUAUUAAAUAUUUUCUAGAAAAAAAAAAAAAAGACUCUUUGGCAAAGACCCAGCCUCCCUGAGGCACAUACAGCGAGGGGGUACCACCAAGAAGCAGGUGACAUCCUUGAGGCUUCUGGAUUCACAGACCUUUUUAGUUUAGGAAAAUACAGCCCUCCUCAAACCCUAUUCUUCUCUGCAGGUUUAUUUGAAAUGAAAGCCUGGAAGUCCAGCCACAAGUCUCUCCUGAGGCUGAGACACAGAGCCAGCCAGAAUGAAAAAUGGAAAGGGGAAAAUACAGAGAGAGAAAUUAAAUCAGUAUCUCAAAGGUUUUCCUCUUUUUUCUAAAAUGAAAUUCCUUUCAUUUUAGUGUUUAUUUUAGAGUUGAGGCAACUGAGACAUGGGCAUAAUGACCAAAGGCACACAACUAGUUACAAACAGUGACACAACCAGUUACUGACACCUACUAGUUACUGACAGAUACUAACAGCCAACAAUAGCUGGCUCUUUCUAUUAUACCAUGGUGCCUCUUCAUUUUUUCUGAUUUCCAACCUCUUUUCUAUUCUAAACUGCCCUUGUUGAUAGGCACUUAAGUCUCUGCACCUACAGUCUUAGACAUAUUUGGAAACUUCUCUUAAGCAUGUUGAUCCAUCCAGGGCUGAAUUAUCUGUGAUCAAAAGAAUUACUCCACCCUGGGGCAUAUCCAACAAGAUGAAAGAUUCAGAAAUAAAUUACAUUGUGCUCCAUUCUUCCUGGCUCUCAACAUCUUCCCGCAUAAGAAAUCAGUUUCCUGAGAGUCUCCAGGCUCCAAAAGGCCAUCCUAAGGGAUGAAGGCAAAGUCUCAUGGGUCCAGCCACCCACCACAGACAUCUCUAGGAUGACUUUGGGGACCUGAUUGUUCCUGUGGCAAUGAUGCAUGUGGCCUGGGAGUUUUGGGAAAGCAGCCUCUACUGCUGCCUCUUGCCAGCUUUCCACUUGGUAGAAGAUGCUUCCUAAAGAUGCACUUUGUGAAGUCUCUGCAGAACCAGCAUAGACCAAGCCAAAUCAUGAUGAAAAUUCUUGUUGUCUGCUCCUUCUCCCAGUGCAGUCCUGUGUUUCCACUUGUUGGAAAUAUAUCUGCCUGUCAAUGUCUGAGAACGCCAGCACCUUUUCGAUGUUACGAACUCACAGUGCUCCUCUUCCAGAAUGCCAGCAUUCAUAAUUUUUAAGCCUCAAACUUUCAAGAAAUGGAAGCAAUUGAAUUACACUGCAUUUAAAAGUAGAAAUGGUACUAUUACAUAGCUAGAAAUUUCUGUCAGGUAUG